AAGCCCUCGGCCUAAACUUCGUGCCCAGCAUGCCGCGGUAAAUACGUAAGGGGUGCCUAAGCUGUUGUUCGGUAAUUACCUGGGCGUAAAGCGCAUCGUAGGCGGACUUUUAAGUCAGGUGUUGGUAAUCCUCGGGGCUCAAACCCCGGAACUGCUCUUUGGAUACUGGAAGUCAUUGAGUUUCGAGAUGAGGUUGAGUGAGAAUUCCGAGUUGUUAGAGGUGAAAUUCGUAGAUAUCUCGGAGGAACACCAGUGGCGAAGGCGGCUCACGGGCUCAGAUACUGACGCUGAGGUGCGAAAGCCGUGGGGACGCAAAACCAGGAUUUAGAUACCCCCUGGUAGUCCCACCGCCGUAACACCGAAUCUGAAUGUUAGCCGUCCGGGCAGUAUACUGUUCCGGUGGCGCAGCUAACGCAUUAAACAUCUCCGCCUGGGGAGUACGGUCGCAAGAUUAAAACUCAAAUGAAUUGCACGG
rnacentral:rRNA from 2 species